rnacentral:rRNA from 1 species
AGCUCCAAUAGCGUAUAUUAAAGUUGCUGCAGUUAAAAAGCUCGUAGUUGCAUUUCCGAGGCAAGGGAUUAGUCCGACCUUUGGUGGGUAUUUAAUCCUCUUGCCUCGUCCUUGAGUGGUGCUUCUUGGUAUUAAGUUAUCGAGGAGAUAGCCGCUCAUCGUUUACUGUGAGAAAAUUAGAGUGUUCAAAGCAGGCUUAUGCCGUUGAAUAUAUUAGCAUGGAAUAAUAAGAUAGGACCUCGGUACUAUUUGGUUGGUUUGAGAACCAAGGUAAUGAUGAAUAGGGACAGUUGGGGGUAUUCGUAUUCAGUUGUCAGAGGUGAAAUUCUUAGAUUUUCGGAAGACGAACUACUGCGAAAGCAUUUACCAAGGAUGUUUUCA